AGCGAACGCUGGCGGCAGGCCUAACACAUGCAAGUCGAACGAACCUUUCGGGGUUAGUGGCGGACGGGUGAGUAACACGUGGGAACGUGCCUUUAGGUUCGGAAUAACUCUGGGAAACUUGUGCUAAUACCGAAUGUGCCCUUCGGGGGCAAGAUUUAUCGCCUUUAGAGCGGCCCGCGUCUGAUUAGCUAGUUGGUUGAGGUAAUGGCUCACCAAGGCGACGUUCAGUAGCUGGUCUGAGAGGAGGAUCAGCCACAGUGGGACUGAGACACGGCCCAAACUCCUACGGGAGGCGGCAGUGGGGAAUCUUGCGAAAUGGGCGAAGGCCUGACGCAGCCAUGCCGCGUGAAUGAUGAAGGUCUUAGGAUUGUAAAAUUCUUUCACCGGGGACGAUAAUGACGGUACCCGGAGAAGAAGCCCCGGCUAACUUCGUG
rnacentral:rRNA from 1 species